rnacentral:rRNA from 1 species
UACGGAGGGGGCUAGCGUUGUUCGGAAUUACUGGGCGUAAAGCGCACGUAGGCGGCUUUGUAAGUUAGAGGUGAAAGCCCAGGGCUCAACCCUGGAAUUGCCUUUAAGACUGCAUCGCUUGAAUCAUGGAGAGGUGAGUGGAAUUCCGAGUGUAGAGGUGAAAUUCGUAGAUAUUCGGAAGAACACCAGUGGCGAAGGCGACUCACUGGACAUGUAUUGACGCUGAGGCACGAAGGCCAGGGGAGCAAACGGG